CCUACGGGGGGCUGCAGCUAAGAAUCUUCCGCAAUGGGAGGAAUCCUGACGGAGCGACGCCGCGUGAACGAUGAAGGCAGAAAUGUUGUAAAGUUCUUUUGUAUGGGAAGAAUAAAGAUAGGAGUGGAAAGCCUAUCUGAUGACGGUACCAUACGAAUAAGCCACGGCUAACUACGUGCCAGCAGCCGCGGUAAUACGUAGGUGGCAAGCGUUGUUCGGAAUCAUUGGGCGUAAAGGGCAUGUAGGUGGUUUUGUAAGUGUGGGUUGAAAUACCGAAGCUUAACUUCGAGUAUGGCCUGCAAACUGCAAGACUGGAGUGUAGAAGGGGAGACUGGAAUUCCGCGUGUAGGGGUGAAAUCUGUAGAUAUGCGGAAGAAUACCUGUGGCGAAGGCGAGUCUCUGGUCUACAACUGACACUGAAAUGCGAAAGUGUGGGGAGCAAACAGGCUUAGAUACCCUAGUAGUC
rnacentral:rRNA from 1 species